UGCAACCAGGCAACAGACUUGAA
rnacentral:piRNA from 1 species